rnacentral:sRNA from 1 species
GGUUAGCCCCGAUAGUAGCGGCAUCCUUUUACUUUUUCCUUUAAAAAGUAAAAGAUAUAGCGAAUAGCGGGAAAUAGC